GACGAACCUUGCUAACGUUAUUCGGAAUUAUUGGGCGUAAAGAGCUCGUAGGCGGUGUGUCGCGUCGGCCGUGAAAACCUGCAGCUUAACUGUGGGCUUGCGGUCGAUACGGGCAUCACUGGAGUUCGGCAGGGGAGACUGGAAUUCCUGGUGUAGCGGUGAAAUGCGCAGAUAUCAGGAGGAACACCCGUAGCGAAGGCGGCACUCUGGGCCGGGACUGACGCUGAGGAGCGAAAGCGUGGGGAGCGAACAGG
rnacentral:rRNA from 1 species